AUGCACUUGCCCGAACGAAUCGCCACCGUCAUUCGUUCCUACGUCGCUCAAUCCCCUCGCAGCCGCCGCCGAUCCCCUCCCCCAUCUCCGCCCGUAGCUGCCGCCCCCGCCACCUCCAGCCGCGGCCGUCGCGCCCACCUCCAGCCGCGGCCGCCGCCCCACCUCCAGCUCGACUCCACGAUCCCCUUCCUAUCGAUCGCCCAUGCCCCCACCGCUUCGCAUCUGAUCGCCACCAGCGCCCGUGCUCUUCCGGCCGCCGGCCGCCAUGCAGUCCUCCACGCCGGACCUUCGCGUUGCGUUCCUCCGCGCGAGGCCGCCGCCGCUGCAGCAGCUCUCUCGGAUCCAACACGAAGCUUGCGACGAAGGGCUUGGAGUUGA
rnacentral:rRNA from 1 species